AUGACGUGGGCUACACACGUGCUACAAUGGACAGAACAAAGGGCAGCGAAACCGCGAGGUUAAGCCAAUCCCACAAAUCUGUUCUCAGUUCGGAUCGCAGUCUGCAACUCGACUGCGUGAAGCUGGAAUCGCUAGUAAUCGCGGAUCAGCAUGCCGCGGUGAAUACGUUCCCGGGCCUUGUACACACCGCCCGUCACACCACGAGAGUUUGUAACACCCGAAGUCGGUGAGGUAACCUUUAGGAGCCAGCCGCCGAAGGGUUUGG
rnacentral:rRNA from 1 species